AUGACUCUGACCUGCGUCCUCAUCUGGACUCUCCUCUGCUGCUGCUUCACAGAGUCCAGAGGCCAAGUCACAGUGACUCAGCCUGGAGCAGUGAGAUCAGCUGUGGGAAACUCCGCCACCAUCUCAUGCAGAACCAGUCAGAAUGUUUAUGUUAGUAGUAACUACCACUAUUUAGCCUGGUACCAACAGAGAGAUGGAGAAACUCCUAAACUGCUCAUUUACUUGGCUUCCACUCGAGCAUCAGGGAUUCAAGGUCGUUUUACAGGCAGUGGAUCAAACUCUGACUUCACUCUGACCAUCAGUGGAGUCCAGGCUGAAGAUGCUGCAGUUUACUACUGUCAGAGUCUUCACUACAUCAACAGUCAGUGGGUGUUCACACAGUGAAAAAGCGUCGUACAAAAACCUCCGUCAGCUGAAGAGGAACUGAUCUGACUCAUCAGCUGCACAGAAACUCACACAUGAAGUAAAUAAAACCAAAGUAUUUGUUACAGUUACAUUAAACAUUUAAACUGUUGAUAUUUUACACACUACAAUAAAACCUUUAAUAACAUCACAUGAAUAUUUAUUGAUCAGGUUAUAAAAGAAUGUUUACAUGCUGAUUUGAUUCAAACAGUCAGACGAUGUCUGCGAGUCUUUCAACAAACAUGCUGAUGAAGAUUUUCUUUUACAGCUUUUUAAAAAAGUUUAAUGAGAUUGUUCUUUUCUGAAAUAUCCAACAAACAUCAACAGUGUUGAAAUGGUUCACAAAAUAUUUCUCAAUAAUAUUUACUUAAUUGAUAGAGUAUAGAAAUUUGAAACCUGAUAUUUACUUCAUGUUCGUUGAUCUUAUUUUUUAUUAAAGUAACUUUAAGUUAGCGAUGAAGAAUUAUUAUCCAGUUUCUAAAGAGUGACACAUUAGUGGUUGAGUCCUUCUGUCAUUUAUUUUGCAUUUGUGUUUGAGUUUUUCCAGAAACAACUUCUGAAAAUAUUUGUUUCUAAACUAUUUAUUUAAUAUUUGUCCUCAAGUUAUCUCCAUCUAUGUCGACGAUAUUUUACUUUAUUUCACAAAUAUUUUCAAUGUGUUCAAAGAUUUACUCACGGGUCAAUUAAGAUUAUAUUCACUCAUUUUUUGUCCACAGCUUAUUCCAACUUAAAACAUUACACCACUGCAAGUUUGAAAUUUGACCCACUAGUGUUUUUUUCUUCUGUCAUUAAUUUUGCAUUCGUUCAACUUUUUGGAGAAUCGACCUAAUGUGAAUAGUUUAUAAAAGCAAAGAAAAUUCUAAAGACUUAUCUUCAUGUUAUUUCCAUAUCAUAUUACUUAUAUUAUAUAUUAUGUACUUACAAGACAAUAAAAAUUACAUUCCCUCAUAUUCAGGGAACAACUUAA